rnacentral:rRNA from 1 species
UACUAGAGUAGCACUCGCAUAUCAAUAAGCGGAGGAAAAGAAACUAACUAGGAUUCCCUUAGUAACGGCGAGUGAAGCGGGAAGAGCUCAAAUUUGAAAUCUUCAAGGUCUUACCUUGACGAAUUGUAGUUUAAAGAAGUGUUUUCUGUUGGAGUUUUGGUAAAAGUUCUUUGGAAUAGGACAUCAUAGAGGGUGAGAAUCCCGUAUUUGACCAUUAUUUCCAACUUUGUGAUACACUUUCAAAGAGUCGGAUUGUUUGAGAAUGCAGUCCAAAAUGGGUGGUAAAUUUCAUCUAAAGCUAAAUAUUGGCGAGAGACCGAUAGCGAACAAGUACCGUGAGGGAAAGAUGAAAAGAACUUUGAAAAGAGAGUUAAACAGUACGUGAAAUUGUCAAAAGGGAAGCGUUUGACACCAGUGUUGUUAUCUCGAAAAUCAAUUCAAUAAUUAUGGAUUUUGUAAGUUAGUAUUGACUUUAUCAGCUUGCUGCACUUUUUUCUUAUCUUUUUUAAUGCACUUUUCGUUUAACAAGUCAACAUCAAUUUCUUUUGUUGUAAAAGGGUCAUUGGAAGGUGGCUUUCUUUUCGGAGAAAGUGUUUAUAGCCUUUGGCCUCUGCAAUCGGAGAGAUUGAGGUCUGCAGCGUAGAUCCUUCGGGGUUAGAUACAUUUGUGCUAAGCUAUAGCCUUUCAUAGACAACUUGUUGACUAUGAUCAGUCAUGUAGCUUACUCGCUUAUGCUAUUUUACCUACGCUUAGGAUGUUGAUAGUCACAGCGUGUAC